rnacentral:lncRNA from 1 species
AAUGAUGCACACAUUGCGGUGAUGGUCACCCCUCGCCUGCAGCAAAACUCAAAAUUCAGUUACACUAGCAGCAAGCUUUAUAGAGAAUUAAUGGGUAAUGAUUAAAACAAGAAGAAGAGUCGGAGCACCAAAAGCUAACAUUUCAAUUCUAAGGCCAUUAGCAUCCCUCUUUGGUAAAUCAAGUGUCCUCGGAUGAUUAAAAUUCUAUUAGUCAGCUAAUGAUGAAAACAAGGAGAAGAGUCGGAGCACCAAAAGCUAACUUUCCAAUUCUAUGGCCAUUAGCAUACCUAUAUGGCAAAUCAAGUGUCCUCGGAUGAUUAAAAUUCUAUUAGUCUUCUACAGCUACAUGAAGGACAAUAGAUGCAAAGUAGUAACUAGAUAGAUGUAUGAAGGAUCAUAGAUGCCAAGUAGUAACUAGAUGGAAGCAAGAUCUUCACAAAGAAUGGGGUUUCAUCAGGUGAUUUCCCUAGUAUUUGAAAGCAGAAAAUAGUAAAAUCAAGCAAAGCAGUUUCGUGCCAUUUGGCUAUUAAGAAGUUAUACAAAUAUAAUCUUAACUAAGUUCAUUGCGAACCUUACUCUUGAAGUACUAGCUAGGUAUUAAGAGAGCUCAAACCAAAGCCAAAAGC